UAAAAUGUCCAAGCCACAAAUGAACGAUAUAAACUGUUUUCAAACCAAGGCCAGAUUCCUGAAUGGGGAUAACCCGUGAUCAUGCCCGUCGGCGUUUCAGAACC